UGAAUACGAGAUGCUACGGCGUCGAAGCAGUCUAUGUCAUACUUCCAAGAAAAGCUUGCACUGUCAUAAACAAAUAAUGCCUGUACCAUAACCGACACAGGUGGGUAGGUAGAGUAUACUAAGGGGCGCGAGAUAACUCUCUCUAAGGAACUCGGCAAAAUGACUCCGUAACUUCGGGAGAAGGAGUGCCUUAUUUAUAAGGUUGCAAUAACAAGAUCCAAGCAACUGUUUACCAAAAACACAGGUCUCCGCUAAGUCGUAAGACGAUGUAUGGGGGCUGACGCCUGCCCAGUGCCAGAAGGUUAAAGAAGUUGGUUAGCAUCCGCGAAGCUGAUAACUGAAGCCCUGGUGAACGGCGGCCGUAACGAUAACGGUCCUAAGGUAGCGAAAUUCCUUGUCGGGUAAGUUCCGACCCGCACGAAAGGCGUAAUGAUUUGGAUACUGUCUCGGAGAGGGGCUCGGUGAAAUAGACUUGUCUGUGAAGAUGCGGACUACCUGCACCAGGACAGAAAGACCCUAUGAAGCUUUACUGUAACCUGAAAUUGAAAUUGGACUUUACUUGCGCAGUAUAGGUGGGAGGCGUUGAGAAUAUUCUUGCGGGAUUGUUGGAGCCAUCAGUGAGAUACCACUCUUGUAAUGUUAGAUUUCUAACUUUGUAUCAUUAUCUGGUCAAAGAACAGUUUCAGGCGGGCAGUUUGACUGGGGCGGUCGCCUCCUAAACGGUAACGGAGGCGCACAAAGGUUUCCUCUGAACGGGUAGAAAUCGUAUCUAGAGUGUAAAGGCAUAAGGAAGCUUGACUGUGAGACCUACAAGUCGAGCAGGGACGAAAGUCGGUCUUAGUGAUCUGACGGAGCUGAGUGGAAAGGCCGUCACUCAACGGAUAAAAGUUACUCUAGGAUAACAGGCUGAUCUCCCCCAAGAGUUCACAUCGACGGGGAGGUUUGGCACCUCGAUGUCGGCUCAUCGCAUCCUGGGGCGGUAGUACGUCCCAAGGGUUGGGCUGUUCGCCCAUGAAAGCGGUACGCGAGCUGGGUUCAGAACGUCGUGAGACAGUUCGGUCCAUAUCCGGUGUAGGCGUUAGAAUAUUGAGAGGAGCCUUCUUUAGUACGAGAGGACCGAGAAGGACAUACCUCUGGUGUACCAGUUAUCGUGCCAACGGUAAACGCUGGGUAGCUAUGUGUGGAGUGGAUAACCGCUGAAAGCAUCUAAGUGGGAAGCCCACCUCAAGAUAAG
rnacentral:rRNA from 1 species